rnacentral:misc_RNA from 1 species
UGGAAGUAAAAGUCGUAACAAGGUUUCCGUAGGUGAACCUGCGGAAGGAUCAUUACCGAGUUUUCGAGCUCCGGCUCGACUCUCCCACCCUUUGUGAACGUACCUCUGUUGCUUUGGCGGCUCCGGCCGCCAAAGGACCUUCAAACUCCAGUCAGUAAACGCAGACGUCUGAUAAACAAGUUAAUAAACUAAAACUUUCAACAACGGAUCUCUUGGUUCUGGCAUCGAUGAAGAACGCAGCGAAAUGCGAUAAGUAAUGUGAAUUGCAGAAUUCAGUGAAUCAUCGAAUCUUUGAACGCACAUUGCGCCCCUUGGUAUUCCGGGGGGCAUGCCUGUUCGAGCGUCAUUACAACCCUCAAGCUCUGCUUGGAAUUGGGCACCGUCCUCACUGCGGACGCGCCUCAAAGACCUCGGCGGUGGCUGUUCAGCCCUCAAGCGUAGUAGAAUACACCUCGCUUUGGAGCGGUUGGCGUCGCCCGCCGGACGAACCUUCUGAACUUUUCUCAAGGUUGACCUCGGAUCAGGUAGGGAUACCCGCUGAACUUAAGCAUAUCAAUAAAGCGGAGG